rnacentral:tRNA from 1 species
GCUGAUGUAGCACAGUGGUAGUGCAGCUGAUUCGUAAUCAGCAGGUCGCGAGUUCAAAUCUCGCCAUCAGCUCCA